AACGAACGCUGGCGGCAUGCCUAACACAUGCAAGUCGAACGAAGCCUUCGGGCUUAGUGGCGCACGGGUGCGUAACGCGUGGGAAUCUGCCCUUGGGUUCGGAAUAACAGUUAGAAAUGACUGCUAAUACCGAAUGAUGUCUUCGGACCAAAGAUUUAUCGCCCAAGGAUGAGCCCGCGUCGGAUUAGCUAGUUGGUGAGGUAAAGGCUCACCAAGGCGACGAUCCGUAGCUGGUCUGAGAGGAUGAUCAGCCACACUGGGACUGAGACACGGUCCAUACUCCUACGGGAGGCAGCAGUGGGGAAUUUUACACAAUGGCGAAAGCCUGAUGUAGCGACACCGCGUGAGCGAAGAAGCCCUUUGGGGUGUAAAGCUCUGUCGGCAGGGACGAAAAAAUGACGGUACCUGCAGAGGAAGCAAUCGGCUAACUACGUGCCAGCAGCCGCGGUAAU
rnacentral:rRNA from 1 species